rnacentral:rRNA from 1 species
GACGAACGCUGGCGGCGUGCUUAACACAUGCAAGUCGAACGGUGAAGCCCUUCGGGGUGGAUCAGUGGCGAACGGGUGAGUAACACGUGAGCAACCUGCCCCUGGCUCUGGGACAACCACUGGAAACGGUGGCUAAUACCGGAUACGACCCGCCUCGGCAUCGAGUGUGGGUGGAAAGUUUUUCGGCUGGGGAUGGGCUCGCGGCCUAUCAGCUUGUUGGUGAGGUGAAGGCUCACCAAGGCGACGACGGGUAGCCGGCCUGAGAGGGCGACCGGCCACACUGGGACUGAGACACGGCCCAGACUCCUACGGGAGGCAGCAGUGGGGAAUAUUGCACAAUGGGCGAAAGCCUGAUGCAGCGACGCCGCGUGAGGGAUGACGGCCUUCGGGUUGUAAACCUCUUUCAGCUCCGAAGAAGCGAGAGUGACGGUAGGAGCAGAAGAAGCACCGGCUAACUACGUG